GUACACGCUGUGACUAGCAUAUCAAUAAGCGGAGGAAAAGAAACUAACAAGGAUUCCCCUAGUAACGGCGAGUGAAGCGGGAAGAGCUCAAAUUUGAAAUCUUAAAGGGUUUCCCUUUACGAAUUGUAGUUUAAAGAAGUGUUUUCUGUUGAGGUUUUGGUAAAAGUUCUUUGGAAUAGGACAUCAUAGAGGGUGAGAAUCCCGUAUUUGACCUUUACUUUCAACUUUGUGAUACACUUUCAAAGAGUCGGAUUGUUUGGGAAUGCAGUCCAAAAUGGGUGGUAAAUUUCAUCUAAAGCUAAAUAUUGGCGAGAGACCGAUAGCGAACAAGUACCGUGAGGGAAAGAUGAAAAGAACUUUGAAAAGAGAGUUAGACAGUACGUGAAAUUGUCAAAAGGGAAGCGUUUGACACCAGUGUUGUUUUUCUGAAAAUCAAUUAAAGAACUGUUUAUGCUAAGUUGUUCAGACUUUAUCAGCUAACUGUUUAGUUUUGAGCUUUUCUUUAAUGCACUUUUCAGUUAACAAGUCAACAUCAAUUUCUUUUGCUGUAAAAAAGCUUGAGGAAGGUGGCUUGAGAUUCGUCUUAAGUGUUUAUAGCCUCUUGCCUAUGCAGUCGGAGAGAUUGAGGUCUGCAGCGUAGAUCCUUCGGGGCUAAAUGCAUUUGUGCUAAGUUAUAGCAUUUUAUAGACAACUUGUUGACUAUGAUUUGUCUUGUAGCUUACUCGCUUAUGUUAUUUUACCUACGCUUAGGAUGUUGACAGCAGUAUAGACUGU
rnacentral:rRNA from 1 species